UACGGAGGGGGCUAGCGUUGUUCGGAAUUACUGGGCGUAAAGGGCGCGUAGGCGGCCUUCUAAGUCGGACGUGAAAUCCCUCAGCUUAACCGAGGAACUGCGUCCGAUACUGAAAGGCUUGAAUCCGGGAGAGGGAUGUGGAAUUCCAGGUGUAGCGGUGAAAUGCGUAGAUAUCUGGAGGAACACCGGUGGCGAAGGCGGCGUUCUGGACUGCAACUGACACUGAGGAACGAAAGCCAGGGUAGCAAACGGG
rnacentral:rRNA from 1 species